rnacentral:rRNA from 1 species
CUGAAUUUCCUAGGGGGCGUCAAAGCCUACCGAAGAAUAUCAAACUCCGAAUGCCAUGUAGAUAAGACCGGGAGUCAGACUGCACGAGAUAAGUUGGGCAGUCAAAAGGGAAAGAGCCCAGACCUUCAGUUAAGGUCCCAAAGUGUACGUUAAGUGGAAAAGGAUGUGGGGUCUCGAAGACAACCAGGAUGUUGGCUCAGAAGCAGCCAUUCAUUCAAAGAGUGCGUAAUAGCUCACUGGUCGAGAGGCCCUGCGCCGAAAAUGUCCGGGGCUGAAACGUACCACCGAAACUAAGGGAUCCGCAAGGAUCGGUAGAGGAGCAUUGCAUGCGGAACGAAGCAGUACCGUAAGGAGCUGUGGACUGCAUGGAAGAGAGAAUGCCGGAAUGAGUAGCGAGAUAAAGGUGAGAAUCCUUUAGGCCGAAUAUCCAAGGUUUCCAGGGUAAAGCUGAUCUGCCCUGGGUAAGUCGGGGCCUAAGGCGAGGACGAGAGUCGUAGCCGAUGGACAACAGGUGGAGAUUCCUGUACUGCGGUAUGACAGAACUGUGGGGACACGUAAGGAAAGCGGAAGCCGGGAAUGGAAAGCCCGGUGCAAGCGGGGUACCAGUCACUUUGGCAAAUCCGGGUGGCAAUGGGAAGCCGUGAUGCGGAGCGAAAUAAAGUAGCGAAGUCCGUGAGCCAUGCGUCAAGAAAAGCCGCUAUUGUUUAUACCGUACCCGUACCGUAAACCGACACAGGUGGAUGAGGAGAGAAUCCUAAGGCCGGCGGAAGAAGCAUUGUCAAGGAACUCGGCAAAAUGGCCCCGUAACUUAGGGAUAAGGGGUGCCUGGGAAACCAGGCCGCAGAGAAUAGGCUCAAGCAACUGUUUAGCAAAAACACAGGUCUAUGCGAAACCGAAAGGUGAGGUAUAUGGGCUGACGCCUGCCCGGUGCUGGAAGGUUAAGAGGAGAGGUUAGCGCAAGCGAAGCUUUGAAUUUAAGCCCCAGUAAACGGCGGCCGUAACUAUAACGGUCCUAAGGUAGCGAAAUUCCUUGUCGGGUAAGUUCCGACCCGCACGAAAGGCGUAAUGAUUUGAGCGCUGUCUCGACAAUGCAUCCGGUGAAAUUGAAGUACCAGUGAAGAUGCUGGUUACCUGCGCCAGGACGGAAAGACCCCAUGGAGCUUUACUCCAGUCUGGUACUGGGACUCGGUAUUGCAUGUACAGGAUAGGUGGGAGGCUAGGAGAUGGUAACGCCAGUUGCCAUGGAGCCGCUGUUGGGAUACCACCCUUGCAGUAUUGGGUUUCUAACCAGCCGCCGUGACCCGGCGGUGGGACAAUGCCAGACGGGGAGUUUGACUGGGGCGGUCGCCUCCGAAAGGGUAUCGGAGGCGCCCAAAGGUUCCCUCAGAAUGGACGGAAACCAUUCGAAGAGUGCAAAGGCAGAAGGGAGCUUGACUGCGACACCGACGGGUGGAGCAGGUACGAAAGUAGGGCUUAGUGAUCCGGUGGUAUUAAGUGGGAAUGCCAUCGCUCAACGGAUAAAAGCUACCCUGGGGAUAACAGGCUUAUCACUCCCAAGAGUUCACAUCGACGGAGUGGUUUGGCACCUCGAUGUCGGCUCAUCGCAUCCUGGGGCUGUAGUAGGUCCCAAGGGUUGGGCUGUUCGCCCAUUAAAGCGGUACGCGAGCUGGGUU